rnacentral:ncRNA from 1 species
CAAGGAGUCUAAAAAGUGUGCGAGUUGGUGGGUUUGUAAACCUGCGAGGCAUAAGGAAGCUGACGGGCAAGAUCACCUCUCCAUGGGGUGCAUUGUCGAUCGACCUUGAGCUUGUGCGAAGGGUUCGAGUGAGAGCACACUUGUUUGGAACCGAAAGAUGGUGAACUAUGCCUAAGCAGGGCAAAGCCAGGGGAAACUUUGGUGGAGGCCCAUAGCGAUACUAAUGUGAAAAUCGUUCAUCUGACUUGGGUAUAGGGAUGGAUUUAUUAGAUGGUUGUCUUGCCAUCUUG